UGGACCCUGGUCUUUUCCAAAUGGAAGAGCAUCUGGGGACCAAGUGUAGAAGGACAGUGAGGACAUAUCCCAACCAGAUGGUCUGGAUUUCACAGGCAAGCACCUCUGAAGAUAUAAGGAAGGACUGAAAUCUGGACUUUAAUGACAUCAAGACCUUCUCAGGCGCCAGAGGCCCAUAAAAGAAAAUGAUUCAGAAAGUCCUGAGCAAGUGAAACCCGGAAAUGUGCUGCGCUUAUAUCUGUCAGCCUCAUGCCCUGGAGGUGAGGAGCAGACAACUGCUGUCCACGGCUUCUCACAGUGAAAGUGGAAUGAGGGAGG
rnacentral:lncRNA from 1 species